UAUCCUGUAUAUUACCUCUGACUAUCCUGUAUAUUACCUCUGCCUAUCCUGUAUAUUACCUCUGCCUAUCCUGUAUAUUACCUCUGCCUAUCCUGUAUAUUACCUCUGCCUAUCCUGUAAAUUACCUAUCCUGUAUAUUACCUAUCCUGUAUAUUACCUAUCCUGUAUAUUACCUAUGCCUAUCCUACCAUUCAUUGUAAUUAGACUGGUAUAGGAUUAAUUCCUGACCAAGAUGGCUGCCGUGUUUGCCCAAUUAUGGAAAUUGAAGGGUUUAUUGUCACAUCUGCUCCUGCUACACCCCCUAGUGGACAUUCGGUGUCUCCUUGACCUGCAGCCAUUUCCCCAGUUCUCUCCCUCUUCUUCUCUCUCUCUCUCUCUCUCUCUCUGAUUGUGUGGUUGGAGACAGGUGAGCUGGAGUCAGAGCAGUUCCCCACCAGCUGCAACCCGUUCCAUAAUCAAGACCUCUACAAAUACUCAAUCCUGCCACUUCCACUCUGCCAGAUCGUAAUCUCAUUUUGCCGCUCUGACUGGGUCCUGUAUCCUGUUCCACAUUUCGCUACCCUGCUAUGAAUUCAACUCAUCAUCACUCCCUUGGAUUCCCCUCCAGACCUGUUUACCCUUUCCCAACCCACCUCACUCCAACCUCAGCCUCCACAUCGGGUUUCCUACAACUUAUCCAAGCUUCCCUGGAUCUGCACUUCAUCUCUCCCUGUGUUGCAAUAAAUAUCUUGGUUCAUUCAUCCCUGUUUCCUGGUCUGAGUCUGCUCUUGGGUUCUCCUGUGCUGCUCCGCUUAACAUUUGACAAUGCCCCUCUAGUAAUUCAAUAGGCUCUCUAUGCGUUUACAGCGGCCUGCAGGACACAUGGCAAAUUCAAUUGUAUGAUGACAAAAACAUUGCUUGACAUUGAGCGCCAUCAAGUGACGUCACUGUGUAAAACACCUCAAUAUUAGUUUAUGAAGACAAAUCACUUCAUAACCUAUAUCUGGCGUUGUGACAUACACAUCUCUCUCCAUUUUGUUUGUUUAACUACAUAGGAAGUGGUAAAUAACAGGUCAAACGCGGCCCGUCAUAUCCCUUAUAAGUUUGUAUGAGUUCAAAUGAAUGGCCAGUUAGAGCUCUGCUCACUGGUUCCAGAGCGAAUGAUGGUCUGUCUUACAGAGAAGCUCAUCAGAGAGUUCCUGACCCUUCAGGGGCAGGCUGCACUGUCAACCAACAUCACUGUCAAUCACUUGAGGGGAUGGAUCAUCUUCAAUGUUCAGAAAGCCUUCCUGAAAAGAUUUCAGGAAGAGAGAGAGGAGAAACCCCUGCCUCGUUGAGCUGGAAGUCAGGGAGGUCGUGGAGAGCCUGGUGGACAUGGCAGCAGGAAGAGACAGCACAAGGGACAUCGUCCAAAGAGCCCUCACUGAAAUCGGGACCAAGGUGACGAGCUGCCUCCAAGACCUUCUCGAAGCAGGUCGUGGUGCUCAGUUAAACCAUCAGGACAUUAUCUCCCAGGUAAUUCUUCAAGUGACUUACAAACUCUUUCGGAACUGACUUUCUCUGAAGGUCAGGCCACGGGGGGGCAGAUGGUCAACACUCUUCAGCAGUCCACAGAUCACUUGGAGGUGGUGAAGAGGGUUAAACCAAGGCCUUAUACCCUUUAAAGGGUUAAUACAUUGUGUUAUGAUAAACUGUAAGGUCUCCUCUUCAGGACCUCUCUGUGUGUUAACCUGUUUUGAGUGCUGUGACCUUCAGACACUAUCAGAAGGUGUUUACGUUCAGACUCCUCCUGUCUGGAUCCCACCGUGGUUGUCUGGUUGACCGACAACACAAGGCUGCCACAGACCUGAUGAAACCAGCCACCUGUCAGAAGAUGCCUACACUCGUUCACCUUGUCGUGACCCCGUACUUGUGAUGAAAGGUCAAGUUUUGGUCCAACCCACUUUUGAGCUUUUAAUUGCUGAUAAGAUGGUUACUGCUGUCAGGGGAGGUUAGAUUUAUUAAAAUGUUGUUGCCAGGGAAACUCACGCAAGGAGGACUGGGAGAGGCUCUAUGAGUUACAGGAUGUCUUAGACAUUUUGCAGAACUUGGGGAGAAACUAUCAUAUACUGUUAUAUUGUACUCCGUACCAACUUCUGCCUAGAAAUGUUAUUACUAAAGGAGUAUUUUUUUAAUGCUUAAACAACGAGUCUGUGUUUCCUUUCUAUUACUAAUUUAUGUUUGAUAAUUAUAUAGACCUGAUCAUUUGUUGAAGAAAUUGACCAACAGUGGCCACGAACAUCAUGGCGAACCUGGAGGAGAUACUAGGCCCCAGAACGGUGCUGGCGAGAGCACUUGGACUGGGAUCAAAGAUCUUCAACCUCUACGUGGUUUGCAGUGUAGCUCCGUGGAUUGCUAAGAGUGUACCUGAUCGGUUUGCUGCUAACAAGGAGGGACUUAUUACCCAGAGUAUGAUGGAGAACCAUGCUGUAAGUUCUUGUUCAAAGAAGACAUAGCGCUGAAGAAGCAAGGAAAAAGCAACGCUGCUGUGUCAGACUGAGCCACUGACCUCCAGCUCGGCACCUGACCAGGGAGACAUUAGAGCAGAAACACAGCAGAAUGAGGAAGUUAGUGACCCUUUCCCCCGGAAUCUGAACCCUCCCAAGCUGUUGUUUCCGACUGGCAUUUAGACCUGGAGCCCAUCCCACCACAGAACUAUCUACAGCUGGUAUAGGAGGCUGAGGCUAGAGAAGCACCUCGUUCUGAUGCCACCAGCACCACAUUCCAGACCAUCAAAUAAGAUGACCAGCCUUCUCAGUCUUCGAGGACUGCUGCUGGACAGGAAGUGGAGCAUGACAAACCAAAGAAGAUGAGGAGGAUUCGCAACAUCUUCAGAAGGAAAUGUAAUGAAGGGGCUUCUAAAGCCUAUUAUCACCACAAUACUCGUAUACUAGAAGAGAAUUCUAACAGCCUGACAUUGUUAUCUAAUUUGUCUGUUAUUAUUUGGGAAAUAGAAGGAUGGGAUUUGCGCCUUAGCAUUUCUGAUUAGAAACCCCACAAGACAAGACUCUGUUCCACAGAACUGGAACAGCCUGAUAUUUUUUUGUUCCUAUUUUAUUCUUGUUUUCUUCAUUUUGAAGUAUAUUCAUUUAACUUUUUUAUGCACACUGAUUGAGAUAAAACGACAUGUUCAAUCUAUAUUGUUACUCUGUGGUUGGAUGUUGAUAGAGGAAAGGAUUUGAAAUAAUGUAGACGAUGAAGAAAUGAUCUGUG